GUGGGGAAUUUUGGACAAUGGGCGAAAGCCUGAUCCAGCAAUGCCGCGUGUGUGAAGAAGGCCUUCGGGUUGUAAAGCACUUUUGUCCGGAAAGAAAUCCUUUGGGUUAAUACCUCGGAGGGAUGACGGUACCGUAAGAAUAAGGACCGGCUAACUACGUGCCAGCAGCCGCGGUAAUACGUAGGGUCCGAGCGUUAAUCGGAAUUACUGGGCGUAAAGCGUGCGCAGGCGGUUUUGUAAGACAGAUGUGAAAUCCCCGGGCUUAACCUGGGAAUUGCAUUUGUGACUGCAAGGCUAGAGUGUGUCAGAGGGGGGUAGAAUUCCACGUGUAGCAGUGAAAUGCGUAGAGAUGUGGAGGAAUACCGAUGGCGAAGGCAGCCCCCUGGGAUAACACUGACGCUCAUGCACGAAAGCGUGGGGAGCAAACAGGAUUAGAAACCCUUGUAGUCC
rnacentral:rRNA from 1 species